rnacentral:rRNA from 1 species
UACGUAGGGGGCAAGCGUUGUCCGGAAUUAUUGGGCGUAAAGAGCUCGUAGGCGGUCUGUCGCGUCUGCCGUGAAAACUCAGGGCUUAACCCUGAGCUUGCAGUGGGUACGGGCAGACUAGAGUGCGGUAGGGGAGACUGGAAUUCCUGGUGUAGCGGUGAAAUGCGCAGAUAUCAGGAGGAACACCGGUGGCGAAGGCGGGUCUCUGGGCCGUAACUGACGCUGAGGAGCGAAAGCGUGGGGAGCGAACAGG